UACGAAGGGGGCUAGCGUUGUUCGGAAUCACUGGGCGUAAAGGGCGCGUAGGCGGCUUGGCAAGUCAAAGGUGAAAUCCCUCGGCCCAGCCGAGGAACUGCCUUUGAUACUGCCUGGCUCGAGGCCGGGAGAGGGUAGCGGAAUUCCCAGUGUAGCGGUGAAAUGCGUAGAUAUUGGGAGGAACACCAGUGGCGAAGGCGGCUACCUGGACCGGUUCUGACGCUGAUGCGCGAAAGCGUGGGGAGCAAACAGG
rnacentral:rRNA from 1 species